rnacentral:rRNA from 1 species
UACGGGGGGGGCAAGCGUUGUUCGGAAUUACUGGGCGUAAAGGGCUCGUAGGUGGCCAACUAAGUCAGACGUGAAAUCCCUCGGCUUAACCGGGGAACUGCGUCUGAUACUGGAUGGCUUGAGUUUGGGAGAGGGACGCGGAAUUCCAGGUGUAGCGGUGAAAUGCGUAGAUAUCAGGAGGAACACCGGUGGCGAAGGCGGAUCUCUGGGCCUUACCUGACGCUGAGGCGCGAAAGCUAGGGGAGCGAACAGG